GCUGUAACCAAUGUCUGUAUGAGAGAAUGAAAAGCAUUAGUCAUUUGUUCAGUCCAUUGUACGUAAGGUGGUGCAUCCUUUUUAGUACAUUGUCUUAAGAUAUUGUCAAAGAACAGUUCGGUAUCCAUUGACGAUAGUUGACGAUGCCAAGGAAGGACAGCAUUUACUUUGGAGUUUCAGGUUUUUUUAUUUUAGUCAGUGCUUGUACUCUCUUUGGGUUUAUUUGUCUCUGGCCGUGGGAAAGAGAAUCCCAAAUCCCAAACAGUCUCAGCCCCCAUCUGAGCUUUAUGUUUAGAAACCUUAUGACCCUCUGCUGCCAGAUGUUGCAGCAGUGAGGUGGUAUCAUGGUGGUUAGCUUCCUGGUUUGGACUACACAACAAUAAAUCAUCAACAUAUUGAAGCAGGACAGAACCAUGGCCGGGGGCCCAUGACUUAAGGGUAUGCUGGAGCACCAGGGAGUAAGCCGCUGGUGAAUCCACUAGGCCUUGGGGGAGGCGUUUCCAGGUAAGUUGGAACACCUCAAAAGUAAAAGCCAUGUAGAAACCCAAGUUCCACUGCCGGAGUUAUUUCACUGGUCUACUCAUUACUAAUGGACAAUCCUCCGGAUCUUAUUCCCUCAUAUUCGAGAGCGUGGGAAACGGACUUGGGCUAUCAAAUAUCCCCAAAUAAAUGGUCCACAAUUUGGAACUCGAUUAGACAUAUAUCUCCAAAUAUUAGUAUUAAGGAAACGGCAUAUAAAGUUGUAAUGAGAUGGUACACCACCCCAGUUCAAAAACAGAAAUACCUGGCAAAUUACCCAGGGACAUGUUUUAGAACCUGCUUAGAAAGAGGGUCCUAUUAUCACACAUGGUGGACUUGCCCAAUUGUUCACAAUUUAUGGCUUGAAAUAUAUCAGAUUGCAAACCAGAUAUUUGAAUCUCAGCUUGCUCCAGAUCCAGAGAAUGCUCUACUCUGUCUUCCAUCAAGAAAUCUCUCUAAACCACAGAACAAACUAUUUGCUCAAUUAUUGGCUGCAACCAGAUGGUCCAUAGCCUUGAAUUGGCUUGCACCCACCUUAUCUAUAACUCAAGUUAAGUCGAGAAUUGACUAUAUACAAUCUUUGUCUUACUUAUCAGCCCUACUUGCUGAUUCCUUGGACUCCCACAAACAAAUAUGGGAUCCUUGGGAAAAAUUUAAAGUUAACAUGAACCCUGUGAAUAAUGCUCCGCAAGUGUAGUUGGGCUUCACUUAAUCCGAUUUCAAAACUAAGAGAUGAUGUAUGUUAUUAUGCUUCCCCCCCCUUUUUUUUUUUUUUUUCCCCUUUACUGUUAUAAUUUAUUGUAUUACUUUAUUCCCUGUUCAUGAUGUUACAACUCAUUAAGAAUUGUAUGAUAACGUUUUAUCAUAAUUUGUAAUGUUACUUUAUUACCAUAUAUGCAUGCUUUCUAUCUGAUAAUACAAAUAAAGAGAUAUAAAAAAAAAAAAAGUAAAAGCCAAAAGUAACUGUGUCUCCGGGUCUAAUGGAACCGUAAAAAAAUGCAUUGGAUAAACCGUGAACGCCAAAGCAACACACGGAAUGGAGGUAAGAAGAACUGUAAUGUCUGGCACAAUAGGUGCAAUUGGUAUAAUUAGUGAAUUAAUAGCUCUUAAAUCUUGUACAAAUCGAAAUUCGUUGUUCUUCUUAGGAACUGGAUUGAUGAGAGUAUUGUAAGGAGACACAACACUAGUGAGGAUAUCCUGAUUAAGGAAUAUCUGUAUUAACAAACGGAUACCAUCUAACUUUUCCUGUGAUGGAGGGUACUGUUUUAUGUAUACUGGAUGUAAGUGUGGUUUAAGUAGUGCUUUGUAAGGUGUACAGUCAACAAAGCCCACAUCAAAUUUGUCAUUAGCCCAUACAGACAGAAUGGAAGGGUUAGUAAAAAGGUCGUUAGAAUUUAGAAAAAUAGAGUUAGUUUCGGAAACAAAAAUAUCUGCAGAAAGGCCCCCAUCCGGGGAAAUUCUGAUGGAUUGAAAUCCUAACUUGUGGAAUAGAUCUCUGCCUAACAGAUUUUCGGGGCACCCAGGGAUGAGUGUAAAUGGGUGUGAAAUGGUACCGGUAGAGCCUGGGCAUACAAUAGGUAAAGGCGGUGUUUGUCCACUAGGAAUAAUAAAUCCACUCCUGCAACGUUUAAUACAAGAUGAGGAUGAGAUGACAGGGAAACGUGGGGUACAACCUUCAGGGCAGCCCUAUGUAGAACCUGGCCAGUUGAUGGUGUGUCUGGGAGUGGAAUUUGUCGAAGCCUGGGGUUGUGUCUGAGGUGCUUGUGGUUGAAAUGUUGGGGCAGGGGCAUUAGGGACUGCUUGUUGAUUUUGAAAAGUAGGACGCGGCGGCCAGGGGCAUUAGCAAGUAUAUUUUGUAAAUCUGUGGGGCUUAAAGGUUUCAUUAUGAGUUGUUCACCAACAGUAAGAAAAGGAUACUGUUUUGUAACUGGAUGUUGACCCCCCCUUUUUUUAGGUUCUCUUUUCCUUACCGUCAUCUUCAGACGGUCAGGAGUGAUAUGAACUAUUUCAUAACCUGCUUGAGUUAUUAUACCCAUAUCUUUUUCUAAUUCGGGCAUUUGGGGUAUCUCGAUUUUUAUCAGUAUCUACUGUAUCUAAGCCAGAUAGGGGGAAGGCCGGCAAUGGGUAGGCUGCAGCUUCAAUCAUACGGGGUGGGGCAGGGACAGGCAUUGGUUGUUGAACCAAUGGGGCUGCUUGGACUAGUGCUAUAGGGGCAGCUUGGGGUACUAUAGGAGCAGAAGCUACAGCAAUGCAAAUCUCAUCAUCCUCCACGGUAUCUGGUUUAUGUGUCAAAUUGGGGUAGAUAGCCAUGUAAGGGGGUGGGGUAGUAUUAACAGUUUGAUCACAGGUUGUAGAGCAUUGUGAAUUGUGUCGUUUAAAUAGUUUUAAAACACCAGUUUUUCGAGGAUUGUAGUUCUUAGGGAGGGAAGUUGUAGAGUACCAACCUGGGGCAAUCUUAAGCCAAUUUUCCCCACCCGGUGUCAUAUAUGUAUAAUCCCAUUUAGGGUCACCUUCUUUCUUCUGAACACACAUUUGAUAAACUAUAUUCAUAUAAUAUAAAUCAUUAGCUCCAUCACGUGGAAAAGGAUUGUCUAGCUCUAAAUGUUCACACCAACCUGCAAUAUUAUCUACCCAGGGGUCAACAUAAAAUCCUCCAGUAGGACUACAUCUAUACACAUACUGUUUGCAAGUCUCAUUAAGGAGGGGCGGUGGUAAAUUUUUGAAGUCUUACCACCCAUCUUAAUUCAAGACAAGUACAGUCUACAAAUAAGAUUAGCUGACUCUCUGUUCCAGGUUUAUUCACCUACUGCCUGGACUCAUAAAUCGAAACUUUUUGCAGGAAAGAUAGCCUCGAACUCAGAACACGCAGAGUUUAUACGUCUACGGUGUAUAAUGGGAUAAGAAUAGGCCGAAGGAAGAGAAGUGAAAUAGAGUCAACAGAAAUAUUGGUUAAUCAAUUAUGUGGACUAUCGAAUUCAAUAAAAAAACAAAUAUCUCAA